CUGCCAUUACCGCAGGAGAAGGUAACCAUGAAAACGAAACAAUGUUAAUAAAUUCUAGCUAGAUUUUGUUGCCUGCCAAAGUUCUGAGCCUGGGGUCUGCUCUCAUUUUAUUGAAAAGGAAGAUUAGGAAGUGCCAGGGAGAUAUUAACGGUAUUCUAGUAAUAAAUGGGACUUUCUCCAUCUAUUUUAAAAGAUCGAAAUAAAAUUGAAAAGCAUAAAAAUAACUUCAAAGUAGUACACUGUUAUUCAAUGUAGUGUUACUGAAGUGUUUAAAAUAAUCUCUUAUUACAUCUAAAGGUAUCUCAGCCCCAGGCUCGGGCUAAUGGAACACACUGCUGUGAAGGAAAGAGCCUCGGCUUUGGAGCCAAAUGGAUCUGGGUUCCAACCCUGAUAAUGCCCUUAACCAACUGAGCGCUGCAGGUGUCGCCAGCACCAAUAGACUGAAGAUGUCUGCAGAACAUCAGCGUUCUUCCUUCACAGUUAAAACUCAGACCCAUUUGCAUACAGCAUUCACGAUGUCCCAUGAACAUGGAAUUCAGCUGCACCCAUGAUGC